rnacentral:snRNA from 1 species
UCUUUGAGAGAGCUCAUAUCUGU